AAAAGGCAUUGUGGUUUUUG
rnacentral:miRNA from 1 species